GCACAACUAUAUCUUUGUGAUAAGAUAGCACUAUAACCACUAGAUUAUUCAAAAAGCCAACAUAGCUAUUUGUUAAAUGAUUGUGCUUAUAGUAUCUGUGGGUGUGGUGGUGUACUGUGUGGCCCAGCCCACAGCAGGCAUGGCCACUCAAACCACCAUCUAUCUAUACACUGACAGAUUGCUUUCACUUUGCAUCUAUUUUUGUACUAUCUAAAUAAAAAAAUUAGAUCAAUCAAUCUGAAUAAAAGAAGUAUUAAGAAAUUGAAAAUCAUCUAUAGAAGUCAUAUUUCUUUCUUGAAGCAGAGUGAUCAGAGU
rnacentral:sRNA from 2 species